GUUUUUGUCUUCGUUGUUGUUGUUUUGUUAGUUUUUCUUUCUCUUUAAAAUAAAAAAAACAAAGCAGGCUGCUGCAGCUGCCGUGUCAUAGGUUUGUUGCCGCUGCUUUAGAUGCCGAGCUGAGUUUAUGGUCCUCAUUUUGCACAGGAAGAAAGCGUGGUUGAUUUCACAGCCUGGAGUCCAGUGGAUUGGGGCUGUGACUCCAGGUUUGUCUUGCGCCAAAACCGGAAACGCUCCUAAUUCAGGCUUGUGACCACCACCGUGUCUCCUGACUGUGACGGAAGCUUUCACAGCCCACCCGACAUUCCACAGCGAGAAACAACCCACGUGUCGGUAUUGCCCCUGUAACUCGCGCUGUCUCUUCCAGCUAAAGGCCUAGUGCU
rnacentral:lncRNA from 1 species